GACGAACGCUGGCGGCGUGCUUAACACAUGCAAGUCGAACGGAAAGGCCUCUUUCGGGGGGUACUCGAGUGGCGAACGGGUGAGUAACACGUGAGUAACCUGCCCUUGACUUUGGGAUAACUUCAGGAAACUGGGGCUAAUACCGGAUAGGAGCUCCUGCUGCAUGGUGGGGGUUGGAAAGUUUCGGCGGUUGGGGAUGGACUCGCGGCUUAUCAGCUUGUUGGUGGGGUAGUGGCUUACCAAGGCUUUGACGGGUAGCCGGCCUGAGAGGGUGACCGGCCACAUUGGGACUGGGAUACGGCCCAGACUCCUACGGGAGGCAGCAGUGGGGAAUAUUGCACAAUGGGUGGAAGCCUGAUGCAGCAACGCCGUGUGCGGGAGGACGGCCUUCGGGUUGUAAACCGCUUUCGCUCAUGACGAAGCUUUGUGUGACGGUAGUGGGUAAAGAAGCACCGGCUAACUACGUG
rnacentral:rRNA from 1 species